rnacentral:rRNA from 1 species
GACGAACGCUGGCGGCGUGCUUAACACAUGCAAGUCGAACGCAGUGGCGAACGGGCGAGUAACGCGGAAUCAACCUGCUCUUCAGAGGGGGACAACAGUUGGAAACGACUGCUAAUACCGUAUACUGAAGGAGGGGAUUGCGUCUGAUUAACUAGUUGGUGGGGUAACGGGCCACCAAGGCGAUGAUCAGGAGCCGGUCUGGGUGGAUGACCGGCCACAAUGGGGCUGUGAAACAGCCCCGGAGUCUACGGGGGGCAGCAGGGGGGAAUCUUCCGCAAUGGACGGAAGGCGGGCGGGGCAAAUGCGCGGGACUGAUGACGGGCUUCGGGUUGUAAAGCUCUGUUUGUCGGGACGCGGUACCUAACUAGAAAGCCACGGCUAACUACGUGCCAGCCGCCGCGGUAAUAC